UCGAGCGGUAAGGCCCUUCGGGGUACACGAGCGGCGAACGGGUGAGUAACACGUGAGCAACCUGCCCCUGACUCUGGGAUAAGCGGUGGAAACGCCGUCUAAUACCGGAUACGACCCGCCACCUCAUGGUGGAGGGUGGAAAGUUUUUCGGUCAGGGAUGGGCUCGCGGCCUAUCAGCUUGUUGGUGGGGUAACGGCCUACCAAGGCGAUUACGGGUAGCCGGCCUGAGAGGGCGACCGGCCACACUGGGACUGAGACACGGCCCAGACUCCUGCGGGAGGCAGCAGUGGGGAAUAUUGCGCAAUGGGCGAAAGCCUGACGCAGCGACGCCGCGUGGGGGAUGACGGCCUUCGGGUUGUAAACCUCUUUUACCACCAACGCAGGCUCGAAGUUCUCUUCGGGUUGACGGUAGGUGGGGAAUAAGGACCGGCUAACUACGUGCCAGCAG
rnacentral:rRNA from 1 species